GUGGGGAAUAUUGGACAAUGGGCGAAAGCCUGAUCCAGCCAUGCCGCGUGAGUGAUGAAGGCCUUAGGGUUGUAAAGCUCUUUUGUGCGGGAAGAUAAUGACGGUACCGCAAGAAUAAGCCCCGGCUAACUUCGUGCCAGCAGCCGCGGUAAUACGAAGGGGGCUAGCGUUGCUCGGAAUCACUGGGCGUAAAGGGUGCGUAGGCGGGUCUUUAAGUCAGGGGUGAAAUCCUGGAGCUCAACUCCAGGACUGCCUUUGAUACUGAGGAUCUUGAGUUCGGGAGAGGUGAGUGGAACUGCGAGUGUAGAGGUGAAAUUCGUAGAUAUUCGCAAGAACACCAGUGGCGAAGGCGGCUCACUGGCCCGAUACUGACGCUGAGGCACGAAAGCGUGGGGAGCAAACAGGAUUAGAAACCCGGGUAGUCC
rnacentral:rRNA from 1 species